AAACUCAAAGGAAUUGACGGGNNNCNGCACAAGCGGUGGAUGAUGUGGUUUAAUUCGACGCAACGCGAAAAACCUUACCUACCCUUGACAUGUCUGGAAUUUUGCAGAGAUGUGAAAGUGCUCGAAAGAGAACCAGAACACAGGUGCUGCAUGGCCGUCGUCAGCUCGUGUCGUGAGAUGUUGGGUUAAGUCUCGCAACGAGCGCAACCCUUGUCAUUAGUUGCUACGAAAGGGCACUCUAAUGAGACUGCCGGUGACAAACCGGAGGAAGGUGGGGAUGACGUCAGGUCAUCAUGGCCCUUAUGGGUAGGGCUACACACGUCAUACAAUGGCCGGUACAGAGGGUUGCCAACCCGCGAGGGGGAGCCAAUCCCAGAAAACCGGUCGUAGUCCGGAUCGCAGUCUGCAACUCGACUGCGUGAAGUCGGAAUCGCUAGUAAUCGCGGAUCAGCUUGCCGCGGUGAAUACGUUCCCGGGUCUUGUACACACCGCCCGUCACACCAUGGGAGCGGGUUCUGCCAGAAGUAGUUAGCCUAACCGCAAGGAGGGCGAUUACCACGGCAGGGUUCGUGACUGGGGUGAAGUCGUAACAA
rnacentral:rRNA from 1 species